GAGCCCAGAGCCUGAAUCAGUGUGUGUGUUAGUGGAAGCGUCUGGAAAGGCGCGCGAUACAGGGUGACAGCCCCGUACACAAAAAUGCACAUAUUGUGAGCUCGAUGAGUAGGGCGGGACACGUGGUAUCCUGUCUGAAUAUGGGGGGACCAUCCUCCAAGGCUAAAUACUCCUGACUGACCGAUAGUGAACCAGUACCGUGAGGGAAAGGCGAAAAGAACCCCGGCGAGGGGAGUGAAAAAGAACCUGAAACCGUGUACGUACAAGCAGUGGGAGCCUCUUAAUGGGGUGACUGCGUACCUUUUGUAUAAUGGGUCAGCGACUUAUAUUCUGUAGCAAGGUUAACCGAAUAGGGGAGCCGAAGGGAAACCGAGUCUUAACUGGGCGUUAAGUUGCAGGGUAUAGACCCGAAACCCGGUGAUCUAGCCAUGGGCAGGUUGAAGGUUGGGUAACACUAACUGGAGGACCGAACCGACUAAUGUUGAAAAAUUAGCGGAUGACUUGUGGCUGGGGGUGAAAGGCCAAUCAAACCGGGAGAUAGCUGGUUCUCCCCGAAAGCUAUUUAGGUAGCGCCUCGUGAAUUCAUCUCCGGGGGUAGAGCACUGUUUCGGCAAGGGGGUCAUCCCGACUUACCAACCCGAUGCAAACUGCGAAUACCGGAGAAUGUUAUCACGGGAGACACACGGCGGGUGCUAACGUCCGUCGUGAAGAGGGAAACAACCCAGACCGCCAGCUAAGGUCCCAAAGUCAUGGUUAAGUGGGAAACGAUGUGGGAAGGCCCAGACAGCCAGGAUGUUGGCUUAGAAGCAGCCAUCAUUUAAAGAAAGCGUAAUAGCUCACUGGUCGAGUCGGCCUGCGCGGAAGAUGUAACGGGGCUAAACCAUGCACCGAAGCUGCGGCAGCGACACUAUGUGUUGUUGGGUAGGGGAGCGUUCUGUAAGCCUGUGAAGGUGGCCUGUGAGGGUUGCUGGAGGUAUCAGAAGUGCGAAUGCUGACAUAAGUAACGAUAAAGCGGGUGAAAAGCCCGCUCGCCGGAAGACCAAGGGUUCCUGUCCAACGUUAAUCGGGGCAGGGUGAGUCGACCCCUAAGGCGAGGCCGAAAGGCGUAGUCGAUGGGAAACAGGUUAAUAUUCCUGUACUUGGUGUUACUGCGAAGGGGGGACGGAGAAGGCUAUGUUGGCCGGGCGACGGUUGUCCCGGUUUAAGCGUGUAGGCUGGUUUUCCAGGCAAAUCCGGAAAACCAAGGCUGAGGCGUGAUGACGAGGCACUACGGUGCUGAAGCGACAAAUGCCCUGCUUCCAGGAAAAGCCUCUAAGCAUCAGGUAACAUCAAAUCGUACCCCAAACCGACACAGGUGGUCAGGUAGAGAAUACCAAGGCGCUUGAGAGAACUCGGGUGAAGGAACUAGGCAAAAUGGUGCCGUAACUUCGGGAGAAGGCACGCUGAUAUGUAGGUGAAGCGACUUGCUCGUGGAGCUGAAAUCAGUCGAAGAUACCAGCUGGCUGCAACUGUUUAUUAAAAACACAGCACUGUGCAAACACGAAAGUGGACGUAUACGGUGUGACGCCUGCCCGGUGCCGGAAGGUUAAUUGAUGGGGUUAGCGGUAACGCGAAGCUCUUGAUCGAAGCCCCGGUAAACGGCGGCCGUAACUAUAACGGUCCUAAGGUAGCGAAAUUCCUUGUCGGGUAAGUUCCGACCUGCACGAAUGGCGUAAUGAUGGCCAGGCUGUCUCCACCCGAGACUCAGUGAAAUUGAACUCGCUGUGAAGAUGCAGUGUACCCGCGGCAAGACGGAAAGACCCCGUGAACCUUUACUAUAGCUUGACACUGAACAUUGAGCCUUGAUGUGUAGGAUAGGUGGGAGGCUUUGAAGUGUGGACGCCAGUCUGCAUGGAGCCGACCUUGAAAUACCACCCUUUAAUGUUUGAUGUUCUAACGUGGGCCCCUAAUCGGGGUUGCGGACAGUGUCUGGUGGGUAGUUUGACUGGGGCGGUCUCCUCCUAAAGAGUAACGGAGGAGCACGAAGGUUGGCUAAUCCUGGUCGGACAUCAGGAGGUUAGUGCAAUGGCAUAAGCCAGCUUGACUGCGAGCGUGACGGCGCGAGCAGGUGCGAAAGCAGGUCAUAGUGAUCCGGUGGUUCUGAAUGGAAGGGCCAUCGCUCAACGGAUAAAAGGUACUCCGGGGAUAACAGGCUGAUACCGCCCAAGAGUUCAUAUCGACGGCGGUGUUUGGCACCUCGAUGUCGGCUCAUCACAUCCUGGGGCUGAAGUAGGUCCCAAGGGUAUGGCUGUUCGCCAUUUAAAGUGGUACGCGAGCUGGGUUUAGAACGUCGUGAGACAGUUCGGUCCCUAUCUGCCGUGGGCGCUGGAGAACUGAGGGGGGCUGCUCCUAGUACGAGAGGACCGGAGUGGACGCAUCACUGGUGUUCGGGUUGUCAUGCCAAUGGCACUGCCCGGUAGCUAAAUGCGGAAGAGAUAAGUGCUGAAAGCAUCUAAGCACGAAACUUGCCCCGAGAUGAGUUCUCCCUGAGACUUAGAGUCUCCUGAAGGAACGUUGAAGACGACGACGUUGAUAGGCCGGGUGUGUAAGCGCAGCGAUGCGUUGAGCUAACCGGUACUAAUGAACCGUGAGGCUUAACCUU
rnacentral:rRNA from 1 species